rnacentral:rRNA from 1 species
CCNCCCUUUUAUUNCCAAGGUAAGGUUAANACCCAAAGGACUUGACGGUGCUUUAUAUCCACCUAGAGGAGCCUGUUCUAUAACCGAUACCCCCCGUUAAACCUCACCUUCUCUUGCUCCUUGCCGCCUAUAUACCGCCGUCGUCAGCUUACCCUGCAAAGGCUUAACAGUAAGCAAAACUGGCAAAGCCCAGAACGUCAGGUCGAGGUGUAGUGAAUGAGAGGGGAAGAAAUGGGCUACAUUUGCUAUUAAAGCACACACGGAACUCGUAUUGAAACAUACGUUUGAAGGAGGAUUUAGCAGUAAGCAGGAAAUAGAGUGUUCUGCUGAAAAUGGCUCUAAAGCACGUACACACCGCCC